GCCGAUGUGGCUCAGUGGUUGAGCAUCAAUCCAUGAACCAAGGGGUCCCGGGUUCGAUUCCCGGUCUGGGCA
rfam:Myotis brandtii contig177444, whole genome shotgun sequence.